ensembl:lncRNA
AUGCAAUUUUUUAUACUGUGGUUUGUUGAGCUGAACAUAACGCAGACUCUUCAUUCAAAAUCUUACAGUGUACAGCAGGACUGUGACCUCCUGACCCUCUCUGAGAGACAUCAGGACUGCACAGAUGGGAGGCACACCUUAGACCCUGUCAAAAUGGGCAUCCAUAUUGAUAUCAGAUAUUUCUGGCAUGAUCUGACGUCAUAUUCCCACAACAACGUUCAUGCUUCAUACAAAUAAGCAAAUACUGUACUGAACAGGAUCAUUAAAAUACCAUUAUGUAUUUUACUCUUAGUGCUUGUUAUGUUUUUACCCAUAGAGCCUCAGAUUUAGACCCCCCACAGCCUACCGGAUUUGGACCCCCCAGCACGCACAGGAAUAUGAUGUAGUGGGUUAAGCCAAAUGAUACAUUUUACUUGCCUGUGCCCCACUAUAUGAUCGCUGUAAUUCCACCCAUCCAUCUAUCCCACCAUCCUUCCUCCUCUAAUACAUCUUCAGAUUAAGGUAGACCAAAUGUCACCACUGGAGAUUACCGUACCUAGUAAGUUAUUAACAUUUAUGGCCCAUGGAAGGAUUAGUAUACCUAGCUGGCUAUUAGAGUCAGAGGUCCAGCGAGCGAGUCGGUGACUAAUGUGAGUGUCACAAGCAAAUGCAGUGCAGUCUGGGCUGAAACCCAAACUUCAACACCUGUCAGGAGUCAAGGGUGUUUGCUGUGCCUCUACACACCUGUUGUGGGUCUAUCAAACCGUGAGGCCCGCGUGAUUUGUGCCAGGUGGUGACAUUCAGAUGCACGUUUACACACACACAUACACACACACACACACGUAUGCGUGCAGACACACAUACGCACAUGCACAAUCAUGAGCUCCCUGAUAGGAUGCCUAACAUAAGCUGUAUCAGUAAAUCCCUGCCACAACACACCUACGCUCGAUUUUUCUUGGCAGAUGAUGUCAGUGGAACAAGACAACUCAUUUUUGAGCCAAGAAAUGGUUACUUUUAAAAAAUGAGAAUAUAGAAAUGAUCUAAUAAACCAAACCUAAAAAUUUUUAAAUAUUGAUUU